rnacentral:rRNA from 1 species
UACGGGGGGGGCAAGCGUUGUUCGGAAUUACUGGGCGUAAAGGGCUCGUAGGCGGCCCACUAAGUCAGACGUGAAAUCCCUCGGCUUAACCGGGGAACUGCGUCUGAUACUGGAUGGCUUGAGUUUGGGAGAGGGAUGCGGAAUUCCAGGUGUAGCGGUGAAAUGCGCAGAUAUCGGGAGGAACACCAGUGGCGAAGGCGGCACUCUGGGCCGGAACUGACGCUGAGGAGCGAAAGCGUGGGGAGCGAACAGG